GGGGUAUAGCUCAGUUGGGAGAGCACCUGCUUUGCAAGCAGGGGGUCAAGGGUUCGAAUCCCUUUAUCUCC
rnacentral:tRNA from 2 species